rnacentral:rRNA from 1 species
AAAGCGUGGGGAGCGAACAGGAUUAGAUACCCUGGUAGUCCACGCCGUAAAACGAUGAGUGCUAAGUGUUAGGGGGUUUCCGCCCCUUAGUGCUGCAGCUAACGCAUUAAGCACUCCGCGUGGGGAGUACGCUCCCAAGACUGAAACUCAAAGGAAUUGACGGGGGCCCGCACAAGCGGUGGAGCAUGUGGUUUAAUUCGAAGCAACGCGAAGAACCUUACCAGGUCUUGACAUCUUCUGACAAUCCUAGAGAUAGGACGUCCCCUUCGGGGGCAGAGUGACAGGUGGUGCAUGGUUGUCGUCAGCUCGUGUCGUGAGAUGUUGGGUUAAGUCCCGCAACGAGCGCAACCCUUGAUCUUAGUUGCCAGCAUUCAGUUGGGCACUCUAAGGUGACUGCCGGUGACAAACCGGAGGAAGGUGGGGAUGACGUCAAAUCAUCAUGCCCCUUAUGACCUGGGCUACACACGUGCUACAAUGGACAGAACAAAGGGCAGCGAAACCGCGAGGUUAAGCCAAUCCCACAAAUCUGUUCUCAGUUCGGAUCGCAGUCUGCAACUCGACUGCGUGAAGCUGGAAUCGCUAGUAAUCGCGG